CCUACGGGAGGCAGCAGUGAGGAAUAUUGGUCAAUGGACGAGAGUCUGAACCAGCCAAGUAGCGUGAAGGAUGACUGCCCUAUGGGUUGUAAACUUCUUUUAUAUGGGAAUAAAAUGUUCCACGUGUGGGAUUUUGUAUGUACCAUAUGAAUAAGGAUCGGCUAACUCCGUGCCAGCAGCCGCGGUAAUACGGAGGAUCCGAGCGUUAUCCGGAUUUAUUGGGUGUAAAGGGAGCGUAGGUGGAGUGUUAAGUCAGUUGUGAAAGUUUGCGGCUCAACCGUAAAAUUGCAGUUGAAACUGGCAGUCUUGAGUACAGUAGAGGUGGGCGGAAUUCGUGGUGUAGCGGUGAAAUGCUUAGAUAGCACGAAGAACUCCGAUUGCGAAGGCAGUUCACUGGACUGCAACUGACACUGAGGCUCGAAAGUGUGGGUAUCAAACAGGAUUAGAUACCCCUGUAGUC
rnacentral:rRNA from 1 species